rfam:Ornithorhynchus anatinus chromosome X5, whole genome shotgun sequence.
CCCCUCUCAGGGAUGCACCUGGAGAGUUUCCAGUACUCUACCAGUCUCAAUUAUGGGAGGGAAAGUCCAGCAGAGGCAUAUCCAUUCCAUUCUUAGCUUGGGCAGCAGCUAGCGAGUGCAAGGCAACCUGCUACAGGU